UACGUGGGGACCAAGCGUUGUUCGGAUUUACUGGGCGUAAAGGGCGCGUAGGCGGCAAUUCAAGUCAGCUGUGAAAUCUCCGGGCUUAACUCGGAACGGUCAGCUGAUACUGUUUUGCUAGAGUGCAGAAGGGGCAAUCGGAAUUCUCGGUGUAGCGGUGAAAUGCGUAGAUAUCGAGAGGAACACCUGAGGUGAAGACGGGUUGCUGGGCUGACACUGACGCUGAUGCGCGAAAGCCAGGGUAGCAAACGGG
rnacentral:rRNA from 1 species